rnacentral:rRNA from 1 species
GAUGAACGCUGGCGGCGUGCCUAAUACAUGCAAGUCGAGCGAACAGACGAGGAGCUUGCUCCUCUGACGUUAGCGACGGACGGGUGAGUAACACGUGGAUAACCUACCUAUAAGACUGGGAUAACUUCGGGAAACCGGAUCUAAUACCGGAUCAUAUAUUGAACCGCAUGGUUCAAUAGUGAAAGACGGUUUUGCUGUCACUUAUAGAUGGAUCCGCGUCGCAUUAGCUAGUUGGUACGGUAACGGCUUACCAAGGCAACGAUGCGUAGCCGACCUGAGAGGGUGAUCAGCCACACUGGAACUGAGACACGGUCCAGACUCCUACGGGAGGCAGCAGUAGGGAAUCUUCCGCAAUGGGCGAAAGCCUGACGGAGCAACGCCGCGUGUGUGAUGAAGGUCUUCGGAUCGUAAAACUCUGUUAGUAGGGAAGAACAAAUGUGUAAGUAACUAUGCAUGUCUUGACGGUACCUAAUCAGAAAGCCACGGCUAACUACGUG